rnacentral:rRNA from 1 species
UACAGAGGGUGCGAGCGUUGUCCGGAAUCACUGGGCGUAAAGGGCGCGUAGGUGGCGACCCAAGUCGAUGGUGAAAGCUCGCCGCUCAACGGCGAGUCGGCCACCGAUACUGGGUUGCUGGAGCACUGUAGAGGGCAGAUGGAAUUCCGGGUGUAGCGGUGGAAUGCGUAGAGAGUCCGGAAGAACGACCGGUGGCGAAGGCGGUCUGCUGGGCAGUUGCUGACACUGAGGCGCGGACAGCG